rnacentral:rRNA from 1 species
GAUGAACGCUGGCGGCGUGCCUAAUACAUGCGAGUCGAGCGAACAGACGAGGAGCUUGCUCCUCUGACGUUAGCGGCGGACGGGUGAGUAACACGUGGAUAACCUACCUAUAAUACUGGGAUAACUUCGGGAAACCGGAGCUAAUACCGGAUAAUAUAUUGAACCGCAUGGUUCAAUAGUGAAAGACGGUUUUGCUGUCACUUAUAGAUGGAUCCGCGCCGCAUUAGCUAGUUGGUAAGGUAACGGCUUACCAAGGCAACGAUGCGUAGCCGACCUGAGAGAGUGAUCGGCCACACUGGAACUGAGACACGGUCCAGACUCCUACGGGAGGCAGCAGUAGGGAAUAUUCCGCAAUGGGCGAAAGCUUGACGGAGCAACGCCGCGUGAGUGAUGAAGGUCUUCGGAUCGUAAAACUCUGUUAUUAGGGAAGAACAAAUGUGGAAGUAACUAUGCACGUCUUGACGGUACCUAAUCAGAAAGCCACGGCUAACUACGUG